UACGUAGGGUGCAAGCGUUGUCCGGAAUUAUUGGGCGUAAAGAGCUCGUAGGCGGUCUGUCGCGUCGGAUGUGAAAACCCAGGGCUCAACCCUGGGCCUGCAUUCGAUACGGGCAGACUAGAGUUCGGUAGGGGAGACUGGAAUUCCUGGUGUAGCGGUGAAAUUCGCAGAUAUCAGGAGGAACACCGGUGGCGAAGGCGGGUCUCUGGGCCGAUACUGACGCUGAGGAGCGAAAGCGUGGGGAGCGAACAGG
rnacentral:rRNA from 1 species